ensembl:lncRNA
ACAGAUGAACAAAAUUAACAUCCCAAAAAAAGAAUGCGUUAUAAAACGGGGAAACAUUUAAAAUUAGUAAUUUGAAAAUGGACCCAAUUCAAUGGAUAUCAACCAACAAAGAGGUAUACAGACGAGGAGGCAUACAAAGGUAUUGGUAUGUUAUGCAGAUCACGUUUAACAUCCUCCUCCUUUACCUCUUCAAUAAACAUCCCAUAGGCCUCUACAUUAUGGACAAGACUUCACCUUCCCUACACCUCUGAUUAAUAUAACAGGAAACCUGUUUGAUCACCAUGCACUGCAAAAUCAUUGUGGCUAUGGAUACGGAGAACAUCAUCACAUUAACAUCAACACGCCAGAGAACAUACCCAUUGGACUUGGGCUCUGCUGGGAGUUUACCUCAUAUUUAGAUGUUUUUAUUCUGCUGUGCCACUAAA